rnacentral:tRNA from 1 species
GGAGAUUUAGUUCAGUGGUAGAGCGCUUGCCUAGGAAGCGCAAGGCCCUGGGUUCGGUCCCCAGCUCCG